UGGUGGGUAGUUUGACUGGGGCGGUCUCCUCCCAAAGAGUAACGGAGGAGCACGAAGGUUAGCUAAUCCUGGUCGGACAUCAGGAGGUUAGUGCAAUGGCAUAAGCUAGCUUGACUGCGAGAGUGACGGCUCGAGCAGGUGCGAAAGCAGGUCAUAGUGAUCCGGUGGUUCUGAAUGGAAGGGCCAUCGCUCAACGGAUAAAAGGUACUCCGGGGAUAACAGGCUGAUACCGCCCAAGAGUUCAUAUCGACGGCGGUGUUUGGCACCUCGAUGUCGGCUCAUCACAUCCUGGGGCUGAAGUAGGUCCCAAGGGUAUGGCUGUUCGCCAUUUAAAGUGGUACGCGAGCUGGGUUUAGAACGUCGUGAGACAGUUCGGUCCCUAUCUGCCGUGGGCGCUGGAGAAUUGAGGGGGGCUGCUCCUAGUACGAGAGGACCGGAGUGGACGCAUCACUGGUGUUCGGGUUGUCAUGCCAAUGGCACUGCCCGGUAGCUAAAUGCGGAAAAGAUAAGUGCUGAAAGCAUCUAAGCACGAAACUUGCCCCGAGAUGAGUUCUCCCUGAGACUUUAAGUCUCCUGAAGGAACGUUGAAGACGACGACGUUGAUAGGUCGGGUGUGUAAGCGCAGCGAUGCGUUGAGCUAACCGAUACUAAUGAACCGUGAGG
rnacentral:rRNA from 1 species